AUACGUAGGUGGCAAGCGUUAUCCGGAAUUAUUGGGCGUAAAGAGUGAGCAGGCGGUUAAUUAAGUCUGAGGUUAAAGCGUGGGGCUCAACCCCAUAAAGCCUUUGAAAAUGAUUGACUAGAGGACGGGAGAAGUGAAGGGAACUCCCUGUGUAGCGGUGAAAUGCGUAGAUAUAUGGAAGAACACCAGUGGCGAAGGCGCUUCACUAGCCCGAAACUGACGCUCAGUCACGAAAGCGUGGGUAGCAAAUAGGAUUAGAUACCCUAGUAGUCCACGCUGUAAACGAUGACAACUAAAUAUUGCCGCGAGGCAGUGUUGAAGCUAACGCAUUAAGUUGUCCGCCUGGGGAGUACGGUCGCAAGACUGAAACUCAAAGGAAUUGACGGGG
rnacentral:rRNA from 1 species